GACCAGGGGGGAGGAGGAGGCUUACGGAGAGGUGGCUUCUUAGAAGGAUGCUUCAUCAAAUCCCUUUUUUUUAUUUUUGUAUUUGUUUUCUGAGCCCAGACACAAUUUCUAAGGAGAUUGUCUGAAAGAUAGUUUCCGAACGCAAACUUCCCCCAAUUCUGUUCAAAUAUGCAAGCCAUUUUAUUUAUUUUUUUGCACACAGUUUUAUUUUCAUCCAAAUGGAUCUAUCCAUUGCCAACGGCAUUAGAUGGACAACGCCAGCCUCCCACAAGCCCCCAUAUGCCUGGUGGGGAACCGGGCCUCACUGGCUUAAUACCGAAGAAGACCAGACAAAUUGAAUAUGGCUGUGUUAACGUUGUGUGUGCCUGUGCUUUUUCUCGAUCCUGUGUGAUUACCUUCACUAUUGCGGCGCACACCGAAAAACGCGAGGCUGGUGCGCUGCCACUGCCGUCGCUGGUAGUCGGGAAUGUCAGGAAUGAUGAUCUGACGGGGCUUUUCUUAAACCAAGACUUAUGUUGUUCUUGACUAUAGCUCAGGACAGGUGGCGGGAAAACGCUCCAAACCGCGGUGAGGUCGUUAUUUUUCAUCAGGAAAGGAAUAUCCAUUUAGAUCAAACCCGAUGAAUACGCAAUGACUGUUGAAAUCUUUUUCGCUGUUUUGCUAAAAAAAAAUCUUCCAGCGCGUGUGUCGACCCUCCCAGCCCUGUGUCUAACAUAGGGUAGGGAGUUUUUUUAUAAUCAAAUCAUCGUGUGGCGUGCUUGAUUGAAAAGCCGCCUGUCGGGUGUAGACAGGACGUUGAGUGACGGGAAUGUCAGCCCUUAUUUCAUUUUGGGUUUAUUUUCAGCAGACACCUUCGCUCUGGGUGUGAUGUGCUGCAGCUCCAGCGACACCUCAGCUUCCUGUCUGUGGCGCUUCGGGUAACCGAGCUAACGGCGGCUUCUCUGCAAUAGCGUGCCUCCACUGUGUUUUUGUGCGAUACGUCGCCUUUUAAAGGAGGUCAGAUUGCUGCCGUUUUUUUUUUUAUCUCUUUUUCUUUGUUUAGUUUUGUUUCUACCCUGAAUCGGGUCGAGAUAGACGGUUGUCAGGAAGCCCGUUUAAAUGUCUCAAUACAGGAUGUGUCCCUGUUCGUUUGGCUUUGGUUUCCUGCGCGGUUUCCUUUUCAGUUUUGUUUACGUAUUUGAGUGGAUUUUCCCCCGUUCCAAGAAGGUAAUAAAGUUACCCUUUUCAUUAUCUGGCAAAGGUAACGAAACCAUUGUCAUCCUUACCCCCCAUGGUCCCAGUUGCACUCCGCCGGUCGCCUCCCUGCAUCUCCAAUGUAGUUCUCAAAGACGCCGUUUGCUUAAGAACACGUUGCAUCUUUAUGACCCUAAUUACCUUUCAUUGUCUGCCCAGGGGCCAUGUCCUCUGCUGACCCUUCUAAAUAACCCACCGCAGUGGCAGGAAACCCCCCCUGACAAACACCCACCCACCCACCCACCCGCUCCCCUUCCCAUCCCCUGUUCAGCUGUUCCCCAUCCCAGACAUGGAAUGCUACUGCUGAAGAAUAAAGGAAGGCUGCUGUCCUGUCCUUUUUUCUCUUUUUCUUUUUUACUUUUGUGAAGGGGUUUUGACCUCUGACCCCUGACUGAAGUGUGAAAGAGGGAUGAACGCUGCAGUGCUCUUCCCUGAUUGGUUGGGGAAUCCAUCUUGCCUGUCAAUCACAGGUGCGUGAGAUGCAGCACUUAAAACUUCGGGAGGGAGGGGACGUUUUCUUGCUUGUUUAGUUAAGAAAUCUUGCUCUCCUCUGCACACACCCCCUGCCCCCCUGCCCCCCGGCCCCCCUGCCCCUACCUCCUCGGGGGGAGAAGUAGGAAGUAGUUUCAGCCAGUACAAAACAGUGCAAUACCACUUAGUGCUUGACAAGGGCUCAGAUAGAUAGAUAACAUUGAAAUUCUACAGCACAUAGAUGCAUUUCAGGCAUAGACAUUCAUAAAAAGAGGUUGUUCCUGUUUGACCAUGCAGACCAGUGCACACUUUGCAGACCUUUUUGCCGGUGAAUGCAAAAUGGCCCGACCGUGACAUCUUCAUACCCGCUUUUUUCCAUCUCAUGCGGGUUUAACAGUCAUGCAGCCUCAUAAGUAGCGCAUCAACACACUGCCUUUUUUUAAAAGCGCGAGCCCGCGACCACAUCCUUAGGCCCUACCGCAGAGACUCGAAGCGACUCAAAGACUCGAAGCGAGUCAUUUAAAGCCUAUUCAUCGCGUGGCCUUAUAUCUCCCGUCUGCAUCAACGCCACAGCCCCCCCGCCCCCCCCCCCGCCCCCCCCAAACUUAAUGACUACGUUCCAGUGAAACCUUUUGUAAUAACCAGUCAGCCUGCGUCAUUUCUACAAACGUUGGACCACAAUUUUUCGCCGUAGAGUGAAGUGGAGCUUUUUUCUGUUAACCCCUUCCUCUCACUGUUGCUUAGUCUUCCUCUAUCUUAAACUCUAUAUGACGAUGGCCUCAAAUGUGCGCUUGAGUAAUAAUUUUUCCAAUAUAUUCCAGUACAUGACUAAGGAGCAACACAAAAAUGUUGCGUCACUAGCCUUUGCAGGUGAUCACAACAAGUGUCACUUUUAGUGUCUAGACUCUAGACGAUGGCCAUGGAACCGCCAUGCGGGUGCGCUUGUCUCCACACAAAAGCAGGCGUGCACCGGCGCUGUUUUGAAACAACAUGCACCCGCGUGACCUCCAGCUCCUCUAUUAUGCUGCGGAUGAUAAAGGAAAUCCUCAGACUCAUCAGCGCACGCUUCUCCACUGCGUUAUACAGCCACUCGGUCCGUUGGAUGAUCCUUCCAGUCAAGCAGGUGCUCCUCUAGCCCAUGGGCCUUUUGUUUUUAUCAAAUGGACCUAAAGCAUGGCUUAAUCUAAUCAUACAACCCAACCCUCAACAGUUUAGCUUCAACUCGACGGAGCCUCACUAAUCUAUUAGUCUGGUGAGGAACGCUUUAUGACUAUGCUUAAUCAGAUCAGCAGUUAUGUUCUGGUAAAUGCAGUACUGUACGUGCGUGCGUUUUGAUAACUUUUCCUUUUGAUUGCUCCGUUGGGUGAGCACAUGGGUUUACCUGUGCUUUGGAAUGUCCCAGAAACCCAGGACAGUAAUAGCCUCCCUGUAGCCGAGUCCGGCGAUGCUUUGUCAUCGGAGGCCCCCGGCGCUGCCGGCGGACGGGUUGAGUCCAGGGAGAGGGCAGCUGGCGCAGCGCUCCUGAGCUGACGUCAACGAGAGCCCAGUUUGGGCGGCCGGCCAGACAUUCAGCUCCGUCAGCCAAUGUUGUUGUUUUGAGGAAUUGGACCCAGAGCGGUGCACCGCUCAACCGAUCCACCAUCACCUGAUGAAAAAUGCUCUCUAAAUAAUUGUUGUAAGUGGCAGUUAAAUUAUUUUGAAAGCAGUGCUCAGGCUCCAUGUACUUUACACGUGGUGUGUUAUGAAUGGGCCUGCAAAAAAAGUUGAAAGCGUCAGCGUUUACAUUCUUUCUUCUUCUUUUUUUUUUACGUUUUAGCCAGAAUGCGUUUGAUCUUUUCAACACGAUGUCUCUUAUCAGGUCGCCUCCUCCCACGGGGGGCCCCCUUUCGUAACGAGCUAGGAUUCCUCCGAACGUGUUUCACCCAAAACACCUGAUGUUCCCCCACCUUCACAACAGUUCAAAGCUGGCCCCUUUACCCUCGACGCUCCACGUUAACCUCUACCGGGUUCCUGACACGAUGCACCUGACUUAAACGAGAGGCACUGCACCGUAACACCUUAAGAAUGGCGGCUUUGGCAAAAGUCGAAUCAAGGAUCCACUUCAAACGCCCAUCCACAUGUCUUUCAUAUCCUCUCCUCUCGCUAACCUCGCAAAUCCGAACCAGAACGCAGGGGCCCACCGUCUCAUGGGAGCAAUGGGCGGGAGGCACUGCUAUUUAUUACCGUUUGCUAUCUGGUAAUGGGAAGGUCUCUGGCUCAUGGGGGGCCUAAGGGUUUGACUGCAGACUUUGGGGAUCGAACCCCGUUCCUUAGUCAUUUUCCACCCUAACCGCUAGACAAUCCUGCCCUAGAAUGGGGUGAGCUGCGGGUCAGGUCGCAUUUUGACGUAAAUGGUAGACUUGUACACCGGCGACGAAUAUCCCAUCAAGGCUAAAAAAAGAAAGAGCUUUGUGUUUUCACAGCUGAGGAUGGUGAGGAUUGAGGGGCUGGAUUUGGCCAUGCAGGUUAUGUAACAGACCUGCCCAGGGCAAUCUGCAGGAGAAUUUUUGCCCCCCCCCCCCCCCCCCCGACAAUAAAAAGCAUGUGUGUAUGUCACAAUUGUUUUUCUCUUUUUAUCACAUGUCCAAGAGUAGUCAUUUGGCAGGAACCGGCCAUUUGUAUGCUCAGAGCCAUCGCUUAGCCGCAGUCCAAAAACACGGGCAUCAGAGGAAUGUUCAGAAUGUAUAAAAUCUCUUUCUUCCCGGAGGCUAUUUUGCCCCCAAUAUUGAACGUUUCUUACUGGUUUACUGGUUGGGUGUAAUGUUCACAAACAAAUGAUAAAAACACAUGAAACAUUGAGGAAGGGAACAUGUACAUGUUCCCUUCCUCAAUGUUUCAUGUGUUUUUUAUCAUUUGUUUUCGUCCAUCCUUUUGGUUAUCCUCUCCAAGUCCAGUAAUAAGUCUGUCGUUGUUUCCCACCAGGCUGUUCUGGUUAUCAGAUUUGGAAUGAGAGAGAGAGAGAGAGAGAGAGAGAGAGAGAGAGAGAGAGAGAGAGAGAGAGAGAGAGAGAGAGAGAGAGAGAGAGAGAGAGAGAGAGAGAGAGAGAGAGAGAGAGAGAGAGAGAGAGAGAGAGAGAGAGA